AGCUUUGCGCAGUGGCAGUAUCAUAGCCAAUGAGGUUUAUCUCAGGCUGAUUAUUGCUAAUUGAAAAAAUUAAAUCUGAUAAAGCUCAAAAUAGAGCAAGAGAUAAUUUUUAAAAUAAUUUUUAAUC
rnacentral:snRNA from 1 species